GACGAACGCUGGCGGCGUGCUUAACACAUGCAAGUCGAACGGAAAGGCCCUGCUUUUGUGGGGUGCUCGAGUGGCGAACGGGUGAGUAACACGUGAGUAACCUGCCCUUGACUUUGGGAUAACUUCAGGAAACUGGGGCUAAUACCGGAUAGGAGCUCCUGCUGCAUGGUGUGUGUUGGAAAGUUUCGGCGGAUGGGGAUGGACUCGCGGCUUAUCAGCUUGUUGGUGGGGUAGUGGCUUACCAAGGCUUUGACGGGUAGCCGGCCUGAGAGGGUGACCGGCCACAUUGGGACUGAGAUACGGCCAAGACUCCUACGGGAGGCAGCAGUGGGGAAUAUUGCACAAUGGGCGGAAGCCUGAUGCAGCAACGCCGCGUGCGGGAUGACGGCCUUCGGGUUGUAAACCGCUUUCGCGUGUGAAGAAGAGUGAGUGACGGUAAUGGGUAAAGAAGCACCGGCUAACUACGUG
rnacentral:rRNA from 1 species